rnacentral:rRNA from 1 species
UACAGAGGUCUCAAGCGUUGUUCGGAUUCAUUGGGCGUAAAGGGUGCGUAGGUGGCGCCGUAAGUCGGGUGUGAAAUUUCGGAGCUUAACUCCGAAACUGCAUUCGAUACUGCGGUGCUUGAGGACUGGAGAGGAGACUGGAAUUCAUGGUGUAGCAGUGAAAUGCGUAGAUAUCAGGAGGAACACCUGUGGUGUAGACAGCUUACUGGACCACUUCUGACGCUGAGACACGAAAGCGUGGGUAGCAAACAGG